rnacentral:tRNA from 1 species
GGGGAUGUGGCACAGCGGCAACUGCGGCGGACUGUAAAUCCGCUCCUUCGGGUUCCUUGGUUCGAGUCCAAGCAUCCCCACCA